ensembl:lncRNA
GCCUUGCUGGGUCAUUGCAAAAUCCAUAUCUCUUCCACGCAGCAAUCAUUAAUGCAAGGGAAGCCAUAAGGAAACAUUUGGUCCAAGAUCUUUAUCACAGUAUCAUAUGAUGGGAAGUUUAUUCCGUUGAGGAGGAAGAGACUUGCAAAAUGCAAUCAGCUGAAAACAUGAACAAGGCAGAGAGGAAAACUGAGCCUGAUUAUCAGCAGAAGCAUUCCUUUCAAGCACCUUUACCACAUGGAGCAUAAAAGUAGGCGAGAGAAAGGAGAUGCACUAAUUGUCCCAAAGAGCUCAUUUCAGUGCUUUUUGUCUUGAUCACUGGAGGAAGAAAUAGGACUUGUGUAAGGACCAAAACUGUGUUUUAAGGAAUCACUCUAGAAGAGGUAGAUGAGGAAGAUGAACAAAACUAGACUGAGCUUCACCAGACCAUUUGUAAGUGCCCUUUUUCUUUUUUAAAUUGUUACAUGUGGAAGGAGGAGAGUCAUUGAGGCUAUGGAAGUUGUGUAAAAAAAAUGGAUGGAAGAGAACUUUGACAUUUCUUUUUGCUUGCCAUUGAAUGAGAUACAAAGAAAUAGUGUGAGGCUGAAAGAAAAAGCCCAUAGACGCACAAAGAUAUUUGAGUCACCCUCUGAGAAGAUUCCAGGCUAAAUCCCAGUAUCAUCAGUAAACAAAUUGUGCUGUCCCACAUUGGAGGCUCAUGGAGAGUUUAACAGAGAGGGGCAGUCAUGGACAAUAACAUGGAGCCACCUGGCAGGUGCGUAUUUUUAUGUGUCUGCCUCUCUGCAUUGAUCUACCUGGCAAAGUGAUAGGAAUGCCACUUACUGAAAGAAUGCUUGUAUGUGUAUUGAUUGCUCACCUGGAUUUGUGGCACUGUUGAUGUGGAUACCUGAAAGAUCGAACUCCCACUAAUCUCACUAAUUGAGACUCCAUCCAGAGGAUCCUGCUGUGACAGUGCCUCUCAUUCCCUUUCUGCAUGGGAAUCUACAGUUUCAGGAGAUCUGACAGACAGACAAAAUGUGAUGAGAGAUAUUGCUGACUUCUAGCACAGGUGCAGGAUCUCACCUGAUUAAACAGUUUGUUCUGACUCACACAUGAAAGCUUUGAAUCGGGAUUCAAAUCGACUUUCCCUGGUUGUCAGUCACCUCCUAUCACUGCUCUGGUCACAAAAUCAUCACACUCUUGUCACACUGACUUUGCAAAACAUCUAUUUCACCCAUGAAAAACACACAACUAUUGACACCUUUGAAGCAGCGUCAUUGCAGAAGCAAGAACUUCCUAAGAAUUUCCUAGAUGUCUUACAAGUGGAUAACCAAGAUCUAAAUUACAGUCAUGAUAAAAAAAAUAGAAUUAAAAAAAAGCAGAUUUUUUGUAAUGUUAUGGACUGAGUGUAGCACCACCAUGGUACUCCCUAUAUAAGUUGUUAGCUAAUAAAAUAACUUAGUUCUCCGUCUGGGUAUACUAUUUAAGAGCACAUAUGCUUGUACACAAAAGGGAUAAAGGAAUUUGAUGCCAUCCUUUGUUUAAAUAUCUUGCUACCUCUGAAAUCUAAGCAACAUGUCCCAGACCCUGGUUAAGAAACUUGAUGCUUUAUUGAACAUAUUUAUGUAAAGUGAACAGCUUUCUUCUAGCCUUUACAGUAGUUCACAUAUUUUAAUAAAAAUGGUUUCUGUUGUUUCAAGAUUUUCUUGAUGAUGGCCUUUAAAAUAUCCUUGGAUCCCAGAGUAAUGGAGCUUGGAAACAAGAUGGCCGUCAUCUCAGUUGCAGACUAGUUUGAUAUUGUCCAAGCAAGAAGCAUGCUUUCGUUGCUGGGUUUUUAACAGCCAUUGAGAAAAGGUAUCAUUCCUUUUAAUUAGCCUGGUGUAAGGUUACCAGACAUCCUGGUUUGAUCACAAUGUCUUUUAAAUUGUCCCAGCAGAGCAUCUAAGAAGCCAAAAUGAAACAUUUGAUUUUUAGAAAUGCUAUCUCUGAUCAUUUGCAUGAGUGCAUUAUUUUGCAUGUGCGUCUAAGUAACAUUAGAUCUGAAACAGAAUCAUAUAUGUACACAGAACAAGAAAUGAUACAAAAUUUGGACAAAAUCAUCCAAACAGCAUACAGAAGUUAGAACCUGUUAUUGUGCACUGUCAUGCUUUGUCCUAUUAGCUUUCGUCUCUUGACAGAAAGGAAAAUGGAGAAUGAUGCAUUCUGUAGACAAAUUCCAAGAUGGUCAGAGGGAGGAGAAACCGCGACCACACUGAGCAGUUGAAUUUUACAGCUAGAUACACACCUAAGUACUGUCUAGACUACAAAAAAAUAGUGAAAAAUGAGCAUUAUCAGUGAUAAAAUUUAAAGUUUUCAUGUGCGCAUUCCUGAUGUUUUGAAUCAAACUUUGUAAUCGGCAAGUAAACUGCAUUAAAGAAAAUGGAAUAGUU